CAGUUGUUCUCUAUUUAAUUUGUAUUUUUGUAAACCAGAUGAAAAACAAGUUUGUGAAAGGUACGAUUUUACGACCACUGCCGAAGUAAGUGAUGGUGAUGAGGAUCAUGAAGUAUAUAGGAAAGAGAAUUUAAUUCUAAGGAAAAGAGUCGAAAAGGAAAACAAAUCGUGUAUUCGUCAGACAAUAAUUCUGAUAGUGACGGUGGAAAUGCUAACUCUAUUUCAGAUUUCCCACCUCCACCAAAGAAAUUUAUUUCA